rnacentral:rRNA from 1 species
AGCGAACGCUGGCGGCAGGCCUAACACAUGCAAGUCGAACGAACCCUUCGGGGUUAGUGGCGGACGGGUGAGUAACACGUGGGAACGUGCCUUUAGGUUCGGAAUAACUCAGGGAAACUUGUGCUAAUACCGAAUGUGCCCUUCGGGGGAGAGUUUUAUCGCCUUUAGAGCGGCCCGCGUCUGAUUAGCUAGUUGGUGAGGUAAUGGCUCACCAAGGCUACGAUCAGUAGCUGGUCUGAGAGGAUGACCAGCAACAUUGGGACUGAGACACGGCCCAAACUCCUACGGGAGGCAGCAGUGGGGAAUCUUGCGCAAUGGGCGAAAGCCUGACGCAGCCAUGCCGCGUGGAUGAUGAAGGUCUUAGGAUUGUAAAAUCCUUUCACCGGUGAAGAUAAUGACUGUAGCCGGAGAAGAAGCCCCGGCUAACUUCGUGCCAGCCGCCGCCGUAAGAC